rnacentral:rRNA from 1 species
AGAGUUUGAUCCUGGCUCAGAUUGAACGCUGGCGGCAUGCCUUACACAUGCAAGUCGAACGGCAGCACGGAGCUUGCUCUGGUGGCGAGUGGCGAACGGGUGAGUAAUAUAUCGGAACGUACCCUAGAGUGGGGGAUAACGUAGCGAAAGUUACGCUAAUACCGCAUACGAUCUACGGAUGAAAGUGGGGGAUCGCAAGACCUCAUGCUCAUGGAGCGGCCGAUAUCUGAUUAGCUAGUUGGUAGGGUAAAAGCCUACCAAGGCAUCGAUCAGUAGCUGGUCUGAGAGGACGACCAGCCACACUGGAACUGAGACACGGUCCAGACUCCUACGGGAGGCAGCAGUGGGGAAUUUUGGACAAUGGGCGAAAGCCUGAUCCAGCAAUGCCGCGUGAGUGAAGAAGGCCUUCGGGUUGUAAAGCUCUUUUGUCAGGGAAGAAACGGUUGUCUCUAAUACAGAUGGCUAAUGACGGUACCUGAAGAAUAAGCACCGGCUAACUACGUGCCAGCAGCCGCGGUAAUACGUAGGGUGCAAGCGUUAAUCGGAAUUUACUGGGCGUAAAGCGUGCGCAGGCGGUUAUGUAAGACAGAUGUGAAAUGCCCGGGCUUAACCUGGGAAACUGCAUUUGUGACUGCAUGGCUAGAGUUUGGCAGAGGGGGGUAGAAUUCCACGUGUAGCAGUGAAAUGCGUAGAUAUGUGGAGGAACACCGAUGGCGAAGGCAGCCCCCUGGGUCAAGACUGACGCUCAUGCACGAAAGCGUGGGGAGCAAACAGGAUUAGAUACCCUGGUAGUCCACGCCCUAAACGAUGUCUACUAGUUGUCGGGUCUUAAUUGACUUGGUAACGCAGCUAACGCGUGAAGUAGACCGCCUGGGGAGUACGGUCGCAAGAUUAAAACUCAAAGGAAUUGACGGGGACCCGCACAAGCGGUGGAUGAUGUGGAUUAAUUCGAUGCAACGCGAAAAACCUUACCUACCCUUGACAUGGCUGGAAUCCCUGAGAGAUUGGGGAGUGCUCGAAAGAGAACCAGUACACAGGUGCUGCAUGGCUGUCGUCAGCUCGUG